rnacentral:lncRNA from 1 species
GUGAGAUACCAGUCUAAGCUAUUCCAGCACACUCUUGUGAGUCAGGCGCCAUAUUGAACUGCAGCCUGCAUGAAUCUGGGCUGUAGCACCAGGAAAAGGAGUCUAGGAGGCAGCCAAUGCUACUCUGACUCCUGGUCAUAGAGGAAGUGAUCUAUGAGAAGGGCAGUAGUCUGGAUCACGGGAGGCGCAGGUGCAAGUCUCUGCUCCAGCAUGUGCACUGGCGUGCGGUGAGCAGUGUCUAUCCCAGCAGCCACGUGACUGAAAGUCUGAACACAGCGCAGCUCCUGAUAGACAGGGAAUGCCCUUGUGAAACUCCCAGGCCUCUGCAUCCCGCACAGAAGCGUGAGUCUCGGCCAUCGCACGCUCACUUUUCCCAUGGCCUCUGUAGACUUGUGCAGUUCUACAGAGCUGCUCAUUUUGAGCUGCUUGGGAAUGCUCUGUCACUAGGGCUGCACAUCCUCACACCAUGGCUGGCUGUAAUCCUUAAUUUUCUUUGCUUUUGAGGGCUUGCAUCAGACUUUUAGACAUUAUUGAACAGAGACGUUUGUGUUUAUCUAUCCACCUGGUGAGGGAAAGGUAAGCAAUUUUUAUGCUUUAAAUGCUUCUCAUAUCUCCCCAAGGGCAUUUACCUGUAGAUACGCUUGUAGUGG